CCCAUCGAGGGUUGCUGCUGCCGCCACCGCCGCUGCCUCCAUCGCUCCUCCGGCUCUGGCCACCAAAGGAAGGCUGGCUUCUCCAGCGGAUCUUCUCCUCUUGGUGAUUUCCUCGUAGAAAGUUGCGGCGCUGCGCCUCCCCACAGUCCCGACAUCAAGGCGGGCGCCGCCACGAGGUCUCGUCCCGAGGAAGCCGCGGCAGGACGAGCACAAUCCAGACGAGGCCGAUGCGGUCGUCGGCGCCUCCUCCGCCUCGGGAUCGAACGGGCUGGUGGAGAGGGGCGCGGAUCUACGCCCUCCUCAGUCGAGGGUUGGACGGACCCUCGGCUGCGGCCUGCGGGGAAACAGCCGAUGGAGGCGAGCUCCUCCUCCCCCGCCGGCCCCGUGCCACCGCCCUCCACACCCCCGUCCGGUGACUAGGGCGUCUGGGCCGACGCCUCGCCGCGGCAUGCGCUGGAAGAAGACCUCUUUACGAUGACUUUUGGACGGCCUUUGAAUGGUGAAGGUGAUGAUAAGUGCCUGUCAGUUCUGAACUCAUUUGAAGAGACAAUAUCUCGUCAACUGCGUGCAUGUAAAUCCCAAGCAUUGUCGAAGAAAAAAACACUAGAAGGAUGGCAAGCUUUACGAGCGAGACUUGUUUUGCGAUGUAAUUUCAAGGGCCCUGUUAUUAACGGACAUUAUAGGAGAUAAAGAGUUCCAGUUGAAUGAGUUUGUAGUGCAACUAGGUCAGGUCAGCCACCAGGGUCAUUCCUUUUUCCAACCUUUACGUCACACAUAAUUGUUUCUUGCUUAUUAUUACUCAUGCAGUCAUAAAAAUAUAUAUGGAGAUCUGUACGUGGUGGUCGCUCAGAUCCCAACCGUGCUUCCACAGGUGUACCAGUUCCUCUAUGUAUAUUCUUUGAUUUUUUUAGUUCGGUUCAUCUUUCAUAGGUAAUCCUUUGCAACAAUUUUAUAAGAUGCUGAAAUCAAAGGUGUGGGCUCUAUUUGAUGAGUAGAGUCUGCUAUAAAAUCAAGAAGAACACAAGGAGUAUGGGUCUGCACGUGCCUAUAAGAAGAAGAUGGCUUGAGGUGAUUUUUUUUCCAGUUGCGUCAACGAUGAGAUCUUCAUCAUGGACCUCAAGAGGGGCGUCGUCUUCAUAGGUCUCUGGACAAACAGGUGCAAGGAGGGCUUUGUUUGGUGCAGCGCAGGGGAAUAGCCAAUAGAUGUUUAAAUGGCAGAUGUUUAGACUGCCAAGGAUUGGAUUAUAUUAGUCAAUACAGUGAACAUGUUGGUUUGUCGCCACUUGUUGUAAGCCACUUUAGAUGAUGAAUAGAUUACUAAAAACGUUUUAGUAUUUACCUUCCUUACAUAUACAUGAUUUACUACAUUUAUGUAUAUCUUGCCUUUCAGCUAAUGGUCAAAUUCACUUGAUCAAUUUUCGGUAUCCAAUCUGAUGAAUGGCUUGGUGUUCGACUAACCUGAGACUGAGAGCAUUUGUACAUAGUAUCCCUUCUACCUGAAAUUGUCCCAGUGAGACGACAACUAUGAGAACAUAAGCUAUUAACUCUAUAGGUAUGCAUUUAGAUUUCUGUGGUUCACGAUACACUGGUUUAUCUAUGCAUAAGUAAAGAUUUACCCUCAUUUCUAAUGAUUAGGCUGUCACAUUAUUUGAUUACUAAGUAUAUUUGGUUGUUUGCCGAUUUUGUAAUUUUUGUAUGGGAUGUACCAUUUUGUUGACCAUUCUAUGAUUUUCUAAUUAGAAAAUGGAUGUUUCCUGCAGAAAUUCUUUUGUUCCUCAAGAAAUCUCUCUCAUGCCAUAUUCAUUCGUGAACUAGGGAUAAUAGUUCAUGUCAUUUCAGGU